GGGCGUAAGCGUGCGUAGGCUGCUUUUUAAGUCGGAUGUGACAUCCCUGAGCUUAACUUAGGAAUUGCAUUCGAUACUGGAAAGCUAGAGUAUGGGAGAGGAUGGUAUAAUUCCAGGUGUAGCGGUGAAAUGCGUAGAGAUCUGGAGGAAUACCGAUGGCGAAGGCUGCCAUCUGGCCUAAUACUGACGCUGAGGUACGAAAGCAUGGGGAGCAAACAGGAUUAGAUACCCUGGUAGUCCAUGCCGUAAACGAUGUCUACUAGCCGUUGGGGCCUUUGAUGCUUUAGUGGCGCAGCUAACGCGAUAAGUAGACCGCCUGGGGAGUACGGUCGCAAGACUAAAACUCAAAUGAAUUGACGGGGGCCCGCACAAGCGGUGGAGCAUGUGGUUUAAUUCGAUGCAACGCGAAUAACCUUACCUGGGCUUGACAUACUAAGAACUUUCCAGAGAUGGAUUGGUGCCUUCGGGAACUUACAUACAGGUGCUGCAUGGCUGUCGUCAGCUCGUGUCGUGAGAUGUUGGGUUAAGUCCCGCAACGAGCGCAUCCCUUUUCCUUAUUU
rnacentral:rRNA from 1 species